CGCAGGCGCCGCGCUUUUAUUUACUUGAGCCGGAGCGGAGAGGGGCGGCGCCAAGGGCCGGAGGCAGGGCGGGAGCUGGGCUGUCCCGGUCCCAGGCUUACGUCGGAGCACCGAGCGGGGGCAGCCUUCUCAGCUCUGGGCUUUCAGCCUUGGAAGAGAGCUCCCGGGUCCCAGGCUGUUUGUUCCUUUCGUCUCUGAGCUCCCAUUCUGAUCACGAGCCACAUAAGGAAUAAAUGGAAAAGCCAGAUAAGUACCAAAAGCAUCUCUAUAAAGCAAUCCAAGUGCUGUGGGAGCAACAAGACUAGAGGAACCAAGAUUCCAGAGGAGGAACUGCAAAAUGUACGCGGGCUUCUCACUGUUGUGGCCUUCUCCCGUUGCGGAGCACAGGCUCCGGACGCGCAGGCUCAGCGGCCUUGGCUCACAGGCCUAGCCGCUCCGCGGCAUGUGGGAUCUUCCCGGACCGGGGCACGAACCUGCAUCCCCUGCAUCGGCAGGCAGACUCUCAACCACUGCGCCACCAGGGAAGCCCAUUUUUCAUACUCUUUUUUCUCACUUCUGUUUUCUUGAAAUGCCAAAAGAAAAUCAAUGGCAAUAGGCCAAACUCUCACUAGCUAACUUUUAAUAAUAAUAAAACAGUACAGACAAAAGAGCAGGAAAUCUUUAAAAAUGGAGAAAUUGUAUAUUAUCUUGUUUAUAAGGUGAACAAAAGAAUAUGUAAAUAUUUUACUAAGAGCUUGUGAUAUUCUUGGAAGACAAUAGGAGGUGGAGAUUACUCAUUCUUUUGCUGCCUGGGAAAUGAAACCAGUACUAUUGAAAGUAAGUGACUUUGUGAAGGUCAGUAAGCAGGCAAAGUGCUUCUAGGAAUCCCACGCACUGGCAAUAUAAAACAUUCUCUCAUGUUUUCACUUCCCUUAUUUUCUUUUUUCUCUUGUCUUUUCCUCUCAUUCAAAAGCAAACUUUAAAAAUUAGAAUCAUCAAUAAAUAUUUAUUGUGUGCUUGCUCUGUGCAAGGUACCACGGAGGAUAAGAAGGAAUCUAAGACAGAGUCCUUGAUUUAAAGGAGCAGUCAAAAUCACGAUUCUAGCCUGAUCUUCACAGCUGCUGAGAAUUUCCUUUUGUUCACCAUUUCACCAUGGUUAAAGCAGCUAUUCCAAACCGUCUGCAUUUUCUUUAAGCUUCCAACUCCAACACUGCUUUCUUGACCCUUCACAUAAGACCUUGCUUGCCUUUUACUGAUCAUUUUGAGUCUAUGAGUUUCCUUAACUUCUCUCUUUUCCAUUUCAAAAUCUCUUUAUCUUCAUCAUCAGUCACUUCUUUCCCCCUUGCCUGCAAGAAGGUAUUCUCUCUCCAUCUUGCCCAGAACUCCCCUCUGCUACUCUCAAACACUGAUCCCCCACCUCUUCAGAGAUAUCACUCCAAUGUCCGUUGGUGUUUUUUCUUUUUUUGAUUUGCAUUUUCAAUCUCAUUCUCACACUGGCUCCUUAUUCCCCAUUCCUAAAUAUAGUUAUUUCUGAUGGUACCUUAACCCUAUUGCUGCUUUGAGUUUCAACUUCUCUUUACAACUGAAUUCCUUGAAAGAGGAAUAUAUAAUCUGCAUUUCCCCUAAAACUCAACUCUUACAAUAUGGCUUCCACUUCCACAACGUUACUGAAACACUUCCUGAAGAUCAAUAGUGGUCUGCGAGUCAACAAAUCUGAUGGCUUUUUCUAGCCUUCAUUCCCCCGACCCCUGCCCCCUCCCCACUCCCUCCCCACCCCCAAUUUCUCUGAAGUCUUUGGUGCUAAUGACCAUUCCUCCUUCUUUUACACUGUCCUGUCUCUACUGUUUUUCUGUGUACUGCUCUGGCCACUUCUUAUUGAACACCCCUCAUCCUCUCACCCCUAAACACAGACAUUCUCCUAAAUUCUGCUUUUUUUCCUUAUAUACACUCUUCUUUGGAUUCUUCUUCAUAGAGCUAAUAGUUGAAGCUGAGGAUUCCCAUGCUCUGGGAAUGCUAAAACACUUUCCCCAAAGAAAAGUGCAUUUAAGGGAAGGGGCAGACUUUAUCACCUUCCUUUUGUCUUUCCAUGGGGUUCACUUAGUUGGCAAGAGAAGUGGGAGGCGAAUAGGUCAGAGCUGUCUUAGCAAUGGCUAAGAUUCCUCUAUCUAGGACCAUGGCUCCUGCCAGAUAGCCCCUCUCCUACAACUGUGGCUCUUGCUUUGUUCUGUUGUCCCUUCUCUUGCCUUUUCGUACCUGGGAAUAGUAAUGGAUUCCUCCUCUUGCUUGUCCUGAGGUGUAUCAGCAUGUCUGCUUGAUUCCAUUUGUGGUUUUAAUUUACUGUUAGACUCCUACAAGUAAUUCAGUUUUGAUACUACAGUUCACCUUAGGCAAUUCUAUUUGCUAAGAUAUCCAUAUAUGUGUGUGUACAUAUACGUAUAUAUUCCAUUGUUCACUUGAAUCUAUAAUUAACUUUACUCAGUUUUCAAUAGUUGCUUAGUCUUGUGUUUCUAUGUAAGAAUGUGGGUUCUUGGAGGACAAAAAACACUGUUUACCAUCCUUAUAUCACCAGACUUUAACAGAAUACUUGUCACAUAGCUGAUAGAUGAAUUUAUUCACUUUGAUAUAACACCCAAGAUUAACAUUACUAUCUUCAGCAAGAAAUUAAAGUUGUGUUUGACCUUCAACAGACUAAAGCCUCCUUAGUCAUAUAGGAUCAUCACAAGACAUUAAGCCUGACAGAUUCCACCUUUACCAUGCUUUAAGAAUAAAUUGUCUAAUUUCUAUUUUAAGGGCAAAGCAUGCAACCCAUUUCAAUAAAAUAUUUAUCUCAUCUUAAUUUAAACUUAUAGCUCUGCAAUAUUUACUAAUGUGCCCAAUUUUACCAUACUCUUACCUUGGACAAAUUACAUAAUUCAUCUCAAAGCCUUGGUUUCCACAUUGAUAAAAUGAAAAAAAUGAUACAUGUUAUCAGAGGGUUGUUGUGCUGAAAUAACAUAUGCUAAUCACUGAACAUAGUGUUUAACAAAAUGAGCAUUUAAUAAGUGGUAGCCAUGUUUAACUUUCAGAGAAGUAGCAAGUAAAUUUAUAAUACAAUUAGAGCAUAUUACUACACAGGUCUCUGUUGUUGCCAUCUUUGUGGGAGGCAACUUCUCCAAGAUAAAAUGCUUAUAACAUGUCACAUCAAUAAACAAGAAGUUAGGAGAGGAACAAAGCAUCUCUAUGAGUCUAUCUUAUAAUGUUAGAUCUAACAUUCCAUGAGGAAAGCAUAGGGGACAUUCCAUUUUAUUACAUAUUUUUUAACAAAAAUUAAACUACCAUAGAGUCUAUCUUUAAAAACCAGACUCCACUUAACCCACUUGCUCUGUUACUCAUUACUGUACAUUCUCUCUGUGAACUGUACUCACUGUUGCCACAAAGGACACAACUGGCACUAUUGGCAAACUUUGAAUAUGGAAGCUUUAUUAGAAAAUAGUAUUGUAUCAAUGUUAAAUUUUCUGAAUUUGAAAAUUGAAUCAUAGUUAUGAAGAGAAUGUUCUUGUUCUUAGGAAUAGCCACUGAAGUAUUUAGGGGUAAGGAUACAUGAUUAUGUAACUUUUAAAUACUUAGGUGGGGAAAGAGGUGGGGAGAGAAUAAAGCAAAUGAAGUGAAAAGUUAACAACCCCCCUGAGUUAAGUCGAGUAUACUUUCUGGCCCUCUGUUCCUUCAUCUACUAGGAGAGAGAGAUUGGGCUGAACUCUUUCAGUAUUAUUCACACUGUGAGCCAUGAAAUUCAAUGAGGAAUGGAGCCUGGCAUCAGAAAAUGUUAACCAGUGAAUCUGAAUAAAGUGUUUGCAAGA